UCCUGUGAUCAAUUCCAAAUCCCUACUACCAAAUCCAAAUCCGAAGUCGCCUUUCCCGUCAAUUUAAAAUCGCCUCUCCCAUCAAUCCAAAUUCGCCUCUUCUUCCCGUCGUUGUUGUGAACUCUUCUUUUAUACCAUCGGUGAUCGAAGACUUGCAUAUCGUUGUUACCGGUGUUGAAGUCCUCGACCUCAGUUUCUGAAAAUGUUCAAAGCUAAACCAUAUGACAACUUUUUCUAUAACUUUUUGCUAAACAGUGACAUAAAUAAGCAGGGGAUGCAGUGCACAGAGAGAUCCACAUUUUUUACAGAACAUUUGAGAUGCUUAAGCGGUGUUUUCAUUUGCAUUUAAAGACAGUCCUUGGAGGGGUUCACUUGCUCGAUGUUGUCUAUAGCAACAAUUGCAGUGCUCAUUUUAUUUCAUUACAUUUGUUUCCAGAGAACGGACAUAAGUCAUAGAUGAGCAAGGGGAACAACGAUAAAAUUCUUGAAGACAUGGAGUGCUUGACAAUUAUGCUGUAAUAGGUAUUUGAAGAUACAAGUCGAGCAGGAACUGUUGAUAUUAGUUGUGAAUAAUACGUAAAUUCUAGCCAUACUUGUAAUAAUUUUUUGAUUUUCAUUAUAGGGAGAGAUUAGAAUAAUAUGAAACUCAUAGUUUUUUUUUUUUUUUUCUCAUUUUUUAUGAUUGUGGAGGGUAUAGAAGCUCUUAUGAUGAUUGUAAUCAAUACAUUUUGAA